GACGAACGCUGGCGGCGUGCCUAACACAUGCAAGUCGUGCGAGAAAGUUCCUUCGGGAGCGAGUAAAGCGGCGCACGGGUGAGUAACACGUAGGUAACCUGCCCCCCAGUCUGGAACAACUAGAGGAAACUCUAGCUAAUGCCGGAUGAGACCACGAUCCCUUCGGGGGUUGCGGCCAAAGAUGGCCUCUACUUGUAAGCUAUCGCUGAGGGAUGGGCCUGCGGCCAUUAGCUUGUUGGUGAGGUAACGGCUCACCAAGGCUGUGAUGGCUAGCUGGUCUGAGAGGAUGACCAGCCACACUGGGACUGAGACACGGCCCAGACUCCUACGGGAGGCAGCAGUGGGGAAUAUUGCGCAAUGGCGAAAGCCU
rnacentral:rRNA from 1 species